rnacentral:rRNA from 1 species
AUUGAACGCUGGCGGCAUGCCUUACACAUGCAAGUCGAACGGUAACAGGUCUUCGGAUGCUGACGAGUGGCGAACGGGUGAGUAAUACAUCGGAACGUGCCUAGUAGUGGGGGAUAACUACCCGAAAGAGUGGCUAAUACCGCAUGAGAUCUACGGAUGAAAGCAGGGGAUCGCAAGACCUUGUGCUACUAGAGCGGCCGAUGGCAGAUUAGGUAGUUGGUGGGAUAAAAGCUUACCAAGCCGACGAUCUGUAGCUGGUCUGAGAGGACGAUCAGCCACACUGGGACUGGGACACGGCCCAGACUCCUACGGGAGGCAGCAGUGGGGAAUUUUGGACAAUGGGCGCAAGCCUGAUCCAGCAAUGCCGCGUGCAGGAUGAAGGCCUUCGGGUUGUAAACUGCUUUUGUACGGAACGAAAAGCCCUGGGUUAAUACCCUGGGGUCAUGACGGUACCGUAAGAAUAAGCACCGGCUAACUACGUGCCAGCCGCCGCGGUAACAC